GGACAGAUGGCCGAGCGGUCUAAGGCGCGUGACUCAAGAAUUUCGAUACUUCUGGUCGAUUACAACGCCUAGUGCAUUCACGUAUCGAAAGAUUCGGGGGUUCGAAUCCCCCUCUGUUCA
rnacentral:tRNA from 1 species